CCAGUUGGCUCAUUUGAUAAUCCAACCAAAAUAAAAAAUUUGCAUAAUAUUAUUCCAAUCAAUUAUUGUAUAUAUUUGUUAGUUCGCUUUCAAUUCAAAUACAUAUAAUUUAAAAAUUCAAUAUUGAUCUCUUAGCAUAACAUCUAAGUCAAAUAAACGUCUUUAUAAUGGAAUACUCACCAAACCCUCCCAACAAAACCAAAACACAUUGCAAAAGAAACCUCAAAAACCUUAACCUCAAAGCACAACCUCUCUUCUUCUCAUCUUCUUACCUUAGAAACUCACAAAGAAAUAAAGCAGCCUACCCGGACCGGCCUACCUCUCAUCCCGGUUAUUUCGUAGAUCUGUCCUGGUUCCUCUGCCCUACCUAGCUCGACGCAAAAACCAAAUGGGACUGAUCCAUCAAUCACACAGAACAAUCACAUAGGUCCUAGGUGUAUUAUUGAAAGAGAAGGAAAGAAAAUUGCUUGUAUAGGAUCAUUGGAUUUUGCAAAUCAGUGACUUUUAUGAAAUUCAUAGAAGCCACUUGCAUAUAAAUUUUGAGAGCGAUGUAAUACUGUAAUAUGCAGGCCAUCAUGCUUUAUGGAUCUUGAGAGUGAUGUAAUUUGUAGGCAAGUGCAAUGAUAUGAACAUGUUUGUUGAUGGUCAUCUAAUCACUAGAACCAUAUUCUAAUAUACUCAAAAUAUAUCGAAAAUGACUUAAUGGUUAGAGGACCAUAAACAAACAUAUUCAUCCCCUGCAAAAAAACCUAAUUCAACUUCUGCAUAAUACAUGGUUUCAGAAAAAAAUAACAAAGAAAAGAAAAUGGUCUUUUAGCAA